rnacentral:lncRNA from 1 species
CUUACAGGGCAGCAAGCCAGCCAGUGCAGGCAUGCAGACUGGCAGGCAAGACAGACAGAUUCACCCUAGGUUAACUAACUCCUUGCACAGGUACAGAUGGGCCAUCUACCCAACCAACACCCUGGAACACUUUCUCAGCCUGCUCCACAGCAGGAGGGCUUCACAGCAGGAGGGCAGAAGCUCAACACCCGCUUGGUGAAACUUCUCUGGCCAAAAAGGAAAGCUAAGGUCUAGAACUGAGAGGCCCAGACAGGCCCAGCGCCUCAGUCCUUUCUAGUGAUGCAAGAAAGCAAACUCUCCUACAGUGGUCUCCCCAGUUACUUCAUCUCAGGGGAAACCACUUAAACAAGGAGGAAAACUACUAAAAUUAGCUAAGAACUCCCUGAAACUGAACAGAUUCACUAGGCUCCUCCCUGCCAGAGUAAACUAUAAAAGCUGAAAGUCCCUCUCAGAGGGGAAAAAAAGCUGAGCCACAAAGAAGACAGAGAGGAGAGCUGCAAAGACUCAGACCAGAACAGCUGCCUAGAAGAAGAAUACCAGCCAUGCUGCCUGGAAGAGGUGUAGACCAAAGAGUCGAGUCGCUGGGAAAGGAUCUCUCCAACCUGUUGAGCUGCCUGCAGGCUGGGCAGUGACUUCCAGGUUCCCAGCUCGGAGCUGUGACCCACGCUGGGGUGGGCCGUGGUGAUGCAGCUGUCUUUGAGUCAUUUCUGCUCCUGAUCCUACCUGGUGGCUGGCCAGUCAGCCUGGAAUUCACUCGGAAGACUCAGCAGGCCUCAAACUCAAAGCAAUUCACCCAUCUCUCCUUCCCAAGUACUGGGAUAAAAGCGGGCCAGGUGCGUCUAUGUAACCUUGGGCGGCCCUGAAACUCACACAGUCUUACCUGCUAUUGUCUCCUGAGUACCAGGACUAAAGAUGAGUACCACCAUGUUCAUCCAAAGGUAUUCAGAGCAGAGACCACGCCACUCAGCUGUGCCCAGGAUGCUGAUAGCUGAUCUGUCCUGCCCUCUGUCAACUCAUCACCCCAGAUGUGUCCCGUGCCUCCUGUUGACUAAACAAUGAAUUGAUCAUC